rnacentral:rRNA from 1 species
UACGGAGGGGGCUAGCGUUGUUCGGAAUUACUGGGCGUAAAGGGCGCGUAGGCGGAUAGUUCAGUCGGGGGUGAAAGCCCGGGGCUCAACCUCGGAACUGCCUUCGAUACUGGCUAUCUUGAGUACGGGAGAGGUGUGUGGAACUCCGAGUGUAGAGGUGAAAUUCGUAGAUAUUCGGAAGAACACCAGUGGCGAAGGCGACACACUGGCCCGUUACUGACGCUGAGGCGCGAAAGCGUGGGGAGCAAACAGG